rnacentral:rRNA from 1 species
AGUGAACGCUGGCGGUAGGCCUAACACAUGCAAGUCGAACGGCAGCACAGUAAGAGCUUGCUCUUACGGGUGGCGAGUGGCGGACGGGUGAGGAAUACAUCGGAAUCUACUUUUUCGUGGGGGAUAACGUAGGGAAACUUACGCUAAUACCGCAUACGACCUACGGGUUAAAGCAGGGGAUCUUCGGACCUUUCGCGAUUGAAUGAGCCGAUGUCGGAUUAGCUAGUUGGCGGGGUAAAGGCCCACCAAGGCGACGAUCCGUAGCUGGUCUGAGAGGAUGAUCAGCCACACUGGAACUGAGACACGGUCCAGACUCCUACGGGAGGCAGCAGUGGGGAAUAUUGGACAAUGGGCGCAAGCCUGAUCCAGCCAUACCGCGUGGGUGAAGAAGGCCUUCGGGUUGUAAAGCCCUUUUGUUGGGAAAGAAAAGCAGCAGGUUAAUACCCCGCUGUUCUGACGGUACCCAAAGAAUAAGCACCGGCUAACUUCGUG